GGUAUUGCCUCAGUAGCGGCGAGUGAGCGGCAAGAGCUCAGAUUUGAAAUCGUGCUUUGCGGCACGAGUUGUAGAUUGCAGGUUGGAGUCUGUGUGGAAGGCGGUGUCCAAGUCCCUUGGAACAGGGCGCCCAGGAGGGUGAGAGCCCCGUGGGAUGCCGGCGGAAGCAGUGAGGCCCUUCUGACGAGUCGAGUUGUUUGGGAAUAAUGGG
rnacentral:rRNA from 1 species